GACUCAGUGGUCUAAUGGUAAGGCGUUCUCUGGGUAGCUAGAUGGUUCUUGGUUCGAUCCCAGGUGGGGUCG
rnacentral:tRNA from 1 species